rnacentral:rRNA from 1 species
AGGACGAACGCUGGCGGCGUGCUUAACACAUGCAAGUCGAACGGUGAAGGAGAGCUUGCUCUCCGGAUCAGUGGCGAACGGGUGAGUAACACGUGAGUAACCUGCCCUUGACUCUGGGAUAAGCGUUGGAAACGACGUCUAAUACCGGAUACGAGCUUCAGCCGCAUGGCUAGGAGCUGGAAAGUAAGUUUCGGCAAGGAUGGACUCGCGGCCUAUCAGCUAGUGGUGAGUAAUGGCUACACCAAGGCGACGACGGUAGCCGCCUGAGAGGGUGACCGGCCACACGUGGACUGAGACACGGCCCAGACUCCUAGGGACG